AGAGUUGGUUAGGCAGUCGCUAUCUCGCUUGUUCGCAAGCGGGGUAGAGGAAAGUCCGGGCUCCAAAGGGCGAGAUACCAGAUAACCUCUGGGAGGCGCGAGCCUACGGAAAGUGCAGCAGAAAAUAAACCGCCCCGCGCUUGAAUCCUAGAUUCAGGAGCGAGGUAAGGGUGAAAUGGUGCGGUAAGAGCGCACCGCGUGACUGGUAACAGUAGCGGCAUGGUAAACCCUAUCUGGAGCAAGAUCAAAUAGAGGAGCAGACGCGCUGCCCGCGCGGCUCCUGGGUAGAUUGCUUGAGCCAUAAGGUGACUUAUGGCCUAGAUGAAUGACUGUCCUCGACAAAACCCGGCUUACCGACCAACUCUACUU
rnacentral:RNase_P_RNA from 1 species